AACGAACGCUGGCGGCGCGCUUAAUACAUGCAAGUCGAACGAGAAGGUGUAGCAAUACACUUGUAAAGUGGCGAACGGGUGAGGAAUACAUGGGUAACCUACCCUCGAGUGGGGAACAACCAGCCGAAAGGUUGGCUAAUACCGCGUACGCUUCCGGGUCUUCGGAUUCGGAAGGAAAGUCAUACCGUGGGUAUGACGCUCAAGGAUGGGCUCAUGUCCUAUCAGCUUGUUGGUAGGGUAACGGCCACCAAGGCUCCGACGGGUAGCUGGUCUGAGAGGACGAUCAGCCACACUGGCACUGCGACACGGGCCAGACUCCUACGGGAGGCAGCAGUAAGGAAUAUUGCGCAAUGGGCGAAAGCCUGACGCAGCGACGCCGCGUGGGGAUGAAGGUCUUCGGAUUGUAAACCCCUUCGGGAGGGAAAAUGGAACGAGCAAUCGUUCGGAUGGUACCUCCAGAAGCAGCCACGGCUAACUUCGUGCCA
rnacentral:rRNA from 1 species